rnacentral:lncRNA from 15 species
GGAAUAGUUCACUUUAAAUGAAAAUGUUAUCUACUCACCCUCGUGUCAAUGAGAAGUCCGGUGUAUUUUUUAAUCCACUCAACACUGCUGGAGUUUCACAGGAAAACAGAUUGUAGCAUUUUUCCAGACAACAGAAGUCUAUAGAGACCAGUGUUAAAAUGGCUCCUGGAGCUGCCACAUGCAGAGCUGACUUGAAAAAACAUAAUUUACAUUGUGUUUCUAGCGAAGAGCUAGCUUAGGUUAUGUGUGCGUUCCUCACACACGCAUGUGACUGCAUCUCUAAACUAGCUCUUACAGGUAGCUGUGCUGCAACCUGUCUGAGACCUCUGCUGGUCUCUGUCAACUGCUGUUGUUUGGAAAAAGACUCGUUUUCCUGUAAAAGUCCAGAAGGAUUUUGUGUAUUAAAAAACUACACUGUAUUUCUCACCAGCUUGAGGUUGACUAGAUAAUGACUGAAUUUUGAUUGAACUAUUAUUUUACAUAUAAAAUAAAAUGUUCAACAAUGUCAGUGUUCGCAUUACAAGUGUCUUUUCUCUUAUUUGCUGCAGCCUACAGCUCUGACCUGAUCAGGGCUCAUGCAGAGCGAGCCCUAAGCCUAAGCCCUGUGCAGACUGCUGAGGAGGUGGAGAACCCCAAAGACUUGCAGACUGCUGAGGAGGUGGAGAACCCCAAAGAGUUGCAGAAUGCUGAGGAGGUGGAGAACCCCAAAGACUUGCAGACUGCUGAGGUGCAGAGCAGAGCCAGAAACGAAGGAUCAGCACUUGUUGAAACAAAUUGGGAUAACCAAAUACAGGUCAGACACGGGCACAGAGCUUAA